rnacentral:rRNA from 1 species
CAUUACCGAACUGUCGACAGGAGUUGUUGCUGGCCCUCGAAAGGGGGCAUGUGCACGCUCUGUUUGCACAUCCACUCACACCUGUGCACCCUCUGUAGCUCUGUGGCAGUGGGACUCUGUCCCGCUGCUGUGGUCCUACGCCUUUACACACAACGUAAUAAAGUCUCAUGGAAUGUAUGCCGCGUUUAACGCAAUACAAUACAACUUUCAGCAACGGAUCUCUUGGCUCUCGCAUCGAUGAAGAACGCAGCGAAAUGCGAUAAGUAAUGUGAAUUGCAGAAUUCAGUGAAUCAUCGAAUCUUUGAACGCACCUUGCGCCCUUUGGCUAUUCCGAAGGGCAUGCCUGUUUGAGUAUCAUGAACACCUCAACUCUCAUGGUCUGCCGUGAUGAGCUUGGACUUUGGGGGUCUUGCCGGCCCAGCGUCGGCUCCUCUCAAAUGAAUCAGCUUGCCAGUGUAUGGUGGCGUCACAGGUGUGAUAACUAUCUACGCAUGCGUUCCCCGCCGUGUAACCUUCAGCGAUGGAGGUUCGCUGGAGCUCAUAGACGUCUCUCCUCAGCGAGGACAGCUAUUUGAACGUUUGAUCUCAAAUCAGGUAGGACUACCCGCUGAACUUAA